CCUACGGGGGGCUGCAGUGGGGAAUAUUGGACAAUGGGGGCAACCCUGAUCCAGUCAUGCCGCGUGUGUGAAGAAGGCCCUCGGGUUGUAAAGCACUUUCAGUGAGGAAGAACGCCUGGUGGUUAAUACCCAUCAGGAAAGACAUCACUCACAGAAGAAGCACCGGCUAACUCCGUGCCAGCAGCCGCGGUAAUACGGAGGGUGCGAGCGUUAAUCGGAAUUACUGGGCGUAAAGCGCGCGUAGGUGGCUUGAUAAGCCGGUUGUGAAAGCCCCGGGCUCAACCUGGGAACGGCAUCCGGAACUGUCAAGCUAGAGUGCAGGAGAGGAAGGUAGAAUUCCCGGUGUAGCGGUGAAAUGCGUAGAGAUCGGGAGGAAUACCAGUGGCGAAGGCGGCCUUCUGGACUGACACUGACACUGAGGUGCGAAAGCGUGGGUAGCAAACAGGAUUAGAUACCCCGGUAGUC
rnacentral:rRNA from 1 species